CAGAGGUGGCAAGCGUUGUUCGGAAUUACUGGGCGUAAAGGGCGCGUAGGCGGUCCGAUAAGUCCCGUGUGAAAUCCCUCGGCUCAACUGAGGAAUGGCACGGGAAACUGACGGGCUUGAGUUCGGGAGAGGGAAGCGGAAUUCCGGGUGUAGCGGUGAAAUGCGUAGAUAUCCGGAGGAACACCGGUGGCGAAGGCGGCUUCCUGGACCGACACUGACGCUGAGGCGCGAAAGCUAGGGGAGCAAACGGG
rnacentral:rRNA from 1 species